rnacentral:rRNA from 1 species
GAUUCUGGCUCAGGAUGAACGCUGGCGGCGUGCCUAACACAUGCAAGUCGAACGGGGUUACUGGCAGCGGAGAUUCGGUCGAAGCAGCCUUUAACCUAGUGGCGGACGGGUGAGUAACGCGUGGGGAACCUGCCCUGUACUGGGGGAUAACAGUGAGAAAUCACUGCUAAUACCGCAUAAGCGCACAGCAUCGCAUGAUGCAGUGUGAAAAAACUGAGGUGGUACAGGAUGGCUCCGCGUUGGAUUAGCCAGUUGGCGGGGUAACGGCCCACCAAAGCGACGAUCCAUAGCCGGCCUGAGAGGGUGAACGGCCACAUUGGGACUGAGACACGGCCCAGACUCCUACGGGAGGCAGCAGUGGGGAAUAUUGCACAAUGGGGGAAACCCUGAUGCAGCGACGCCGCGUGAAGGAAGAAGUAUCUCGGUAUGUAAACUUCUAUCAGCAGGGAAGAUGAUGACGGUACCUGACUAAGAAGCCCCGGCUAACUACGUGCCAGCCGCGGC